CUCCGGAUUGUGGGCACGCGUGCAUGUGUGCCCAGUGUGAUGGAAGGAGAGAGCCACCAGGAGUGGACCACAGUCACCUGCUGUCGUGUUGUGGUGUAGCCAGAAGACACCGCCCCACACACAGGACACCCCUGGACCUGGAACAUCCAAACUAUACAGCCGAAGCCCUCAUGAACCAGCCUGCACAUCUCUUCUCUUCCCUCUCUGCGCC